rnacentral:rRNA from 1 species
GAUUAACGCUGGCGGCGUGCAUAACACAUGCAAGUCGAACGAUGAAACUUAAAUGAACUCUUCGGAGUGAUUUUAAGUGGAUUAGUGGCGGACGGGUGAGUAACGCGUGAGUAACCUGCCUUAGAGAAGGGGAUAGCCUUUGGAAACGAAGAAUAAUACCCUAUAACACCAACACCUCGCAUGAAGAGUUGGUCAAAGAUUUAUCGCUCUAAGAUGGACUUGCGUCUGAUUAGUUAGUUGGUGAGGUAACGGCCCACCAAGACAGCGAUCAGUAGCCGGCUUGAGAGAGUGUACGGCCACAUUGGGACUGAGACACGGCCCAGACUCCUACGGGAGGCAGCAGUGGGGAAUUUUGCACAAUGGGGGAAACCCUGAUGCAGCGACGCCGCGUGAUUUAGAAGGCCUUCGGGUUGUAAAAAUCUUUUCUAUGGGAAGAAAAUGACAGUACCAUAGGAAUAAGGACCGGCUAAUUACGUGCCAGCAGCCGCGGUAAUACGUAAGGUCCGAGCGUUGUCCGGAAUCAUUGGGCGUAAAGGGUACGUAGGCGGGUAAGCAAGUUAGAAGUGAAAUCCUGUAGCUCAACUACAGUAAGCUUUUAAAACUGCUCAUCUUGAGAUAUGGAAGGGAAAGUGGAAUUCCUAGUGUAGCGGUGAAAUGCGCAGAUAUUAGGAGGAAUACCGGUGGCGAAGGCGACUUUCUGGCCAUAAUCUGACGCUGAGGUACGAAAGCGUGGGUAGCAAACAGG